GUGGGCGUAGGAGAAUUGGCAUAUCCACUGCGCUAAGAACGCAGCUUUUGUGGGUUCAAAUCCCACCGCCCACACCA
rnacentral:tRNA from 1 species